UAAAUUUUUAUUUUAGUUAGUGUUGAAUAAUUAUUAAUAAUAAAAAUUUAGUAGUGAAAUGUUAAUCGAUUUAAAUGAUAUCUAGUUUUUUUAGAAAUGAAUUUAAUUCAAUAUUUAAAUUAUUAUAUAAUUAUUUAUAUAAAUUAGUAUAAUUAUUUAAAUUAAAUUAUUUUAGGGAUAAACUUAAAGUAAAAUUAAUAAUUUGAUUAUUUAUUUAUUAUUUGAGUAUUUAUAAUAAUAGAAAUUUUUAAUAAGUAUUUUAUAAUUUAUAAAUUAUUUAUAGUUAAUUUAAAUUUAAAUUUUAAUUUUUUUAUAAAAAAGAUAUUAUAAUCAAUAAAAUAAAGUUAUAAUGAUAAUAUUAGUAAAAAAUAAUGUUUAAUUAAUUUAUUUGUAUUUAAUUUAAUAUUAAAGAAUUUAACAAAUAUAUUAUUCACCUGUUUAACAAAAACAUGGUUUAUAGAGUAUAAUUAUAAAUCGGUUUCUGCCCAAUGAGAUUAUUUAAUGGCUGCGGUAUAUUGACCGUACAAAGGUAGCAAAAUCAAUAGUUUUUUAAUUGAAAACUGGAAUGAAAGAGCUGAUGAAAUAAUAAUUAUUUCAAUAUUAAUAAUUGAAUUUAAAUUUUAAGUUAAAUGCUUAAAUUUUUUUAAAAGACGAGAAGACCCUAUAGAAUUUAAUAAAUUUUAAGUAUAAAUUUGUAAAUAUAAAUUAUAUAUUUAUAUUUAAUUAUAUUUAAUUGGGAGGAUUAUAAAAUAUA
rnacentral:rRNA from 1 species